rnacentral:rRNA from 1 species
CCUACGGGUGGCAGCAGUGAGGAAUAUUGGUCAAUGGGCUUACGCCUGAACCAGCCAAGUCGCGUGAGGGAAGACUGCCCUAUGGGUUGUAAACCUCUUUUGUCAGGGAGCAACGCCGGCUACGUGUAGCCGGUCUGAGAGUACCUGAAGAAAAAGCAUCGGCUAACUCCGUGCCAGCCGACGCGGUAAUACGGAGGAUGCGAGCGUUAUUCGGAUUUUUUGGGUUUAAAGGGUGCGUAGGCGGAAUUCUAAGUCAGCGGUAAAAUCGCGGGGCUCAACCUCGCUCAGCCGUUGAAACUGGCGUUCUUGAGUGGGCGAGAGGUAUGCGGAAUGCGUGGUGUAGCGGUGAAAUGCAUAGAUAUCACGCAGAACUCCGAUUGCGAAGGCAGCAUACCGGCGCCCAACUGACGCUGAAGCACGAAAGCGUGGGUAUCGAACAGGAUUAGAUACCCGAGUAGUC